rnacentral:misc_RNA from 1 species
GGAUGUAAAAGUCGUAACAAGGUUUCCGUAGGUGAACCUGCGGAAGGAUCAUUAUUGUAUAACCGAGGUGCGAGGGCUGUCGCUGACCCGAAAGGUCGUGCACGCCCGAGUGCCCUCACACACAUCCAUCUCACCCCUAUGUGCACCACCGCGUGGGUCCCCCUUUGGCUUGUUCGGAGGGGGGCUUACGUUUUCACACAAACUUUGUAUGCAGUGUAGAAUGUAUUUUUUGUUUUUGCGAUCACGCAAUCAAUACAACUUUCAACAACGGAUCUCUUGGCUCUC